AAGGGAGACCUAAUUCCGGUAGGAGACGAAAAAAAAGUAGUCGCUACCAAGAAUCAAUCCCAAAAGGUCGGAGCGAGGUAUGAGGCUUUCAAACUAGGUUCUGGGUUCAAACAAGACCUGAAUCAGGAGCAAGGGCUAUUAGCUCAGGUGGUUAGAGCGCACCCCUGAUAAGGGUGAGGUCCCUGGUUCGAGUCCAGGAUGGCCCACCUGCACAGGUGGCACAAACAAGAGAAGCUCCGAAUCAGCACCUUAUCUUAUAUACAUAUAUAAGAGAGAAUGCUGGCUCUGAGUAAAGAGUCCAGAGGAACCUUGAAAACUGCAUAGAGCUAGGUGAAAAAGCCAAAAAAGAAGACCGCAA
rnacentral:tRNA from 1 species